rnacentral:misc_RNA from 1 species
UUUUUAAAAGAAAACUGAAUUUCUCAAUGUUAUGCAUUUUGUAGGUUAGGUUUUAGCGCUAUGUAUAACAGCUUCUCUUUCUUCUUCUUGUACCGCCCCUCUAUUCGCUGCUCCUUUCAAUUUUUCUCUCUAUUUCAGUCUUCCCCCUCUUUUUCUCUUCCAUUGGUGCCUCUGUUCCUCUAUUGAUCUCUUUGAUUCUUUCUCUAUUUCACUUUCCCACCCCUUUCCCCUCUUGGUUGCUCUUUUCAAGUCCCCUCUGAUCUCUCGUCUCACCUGUAUCACUCUCAAGUCAUCUAUAAGACACCUCUGCCUCAACAUCAUCACACAGAGCAGCACCUUACUAUGCCAGUCGUCACCAUUGUUUGUUGAUUGCAAGUUGCAACCUCUAACUACCUUGCCACCAUCGCCUCUCCCUCCCUCCCUCCCUUAGUGAACACUCUGUUUGGAUGAGGGUGAAGGA